rnacentral:rRNA from 1 species
ACACCUACGGGUGGCAGCAGUGGGGAAUUGUUCGCAAUGGGCGCAAGCCUGACGACGCAACGCCGCGUGGAGGAUGAAGAUCUUCGGAUCGUAAACUCCUGUCGACCGGGACGAACGGCCUGCGGGUUAACACCUCGCGGGAGUGACGGUACCGGUGGAGGAAGCCCCGGCUAACUCCGUGCCAGCAGCCGCGGUAAUACGGGGGGGGCAAGCGUUGUUCGGAAUUACUGGGCGUAAAGGGCGCGUAGGCGGCCACCUCAGUCGAACGUGAAAUCCCUCGGCUUAACCGGGGAACUGCGUCCGAUACUGGGUGGCUGGAAUCCGGGAGAGGGAUGCGGAAUUCCAGGUGUAGCGGUGAAAUGCGUAGAUAUCUGGAGGAACACCGGUGGCGAAGGCGGCAUCCUGGACCGGCAUUGACGCUGAGGCGCGAAAGCCAGGGGAGCAAACGGGAUUAGAUACCCCGGUAGUCCUGGCCCUAAACGAUGAAUGCUUGGUGUGGCGGGUAUCGAUCCCUGCCGUGCCGGAGUUAACGCGUUAAGCAUUCCGCCUGGG